AGUAGUGAUGUGUGGUUUUGCUGAACUUGUGGACAAAAAUUUAAAGACAGGUAGGAAAUUAGUCCUCUUCUUCAACCCAGAACUCUCUGUUCAGUGUGGGUUUAUGUACAUAUAUAUGGAGGAAUAUG